GAGUUUGAUCCUGGCUCAGAACGAACGCUGGCGGCGUGGAUAAGACAUGCAAGUCGAACGGGAUAUUGUUUGUAGCAAUACAGGCGAUGUCUAGUGGCGCAAGGGUGCGUAACACGUGGGGAAUCUGCCGAGAAGUGGGGGAUAGCUCGCCGAAAGGCGAAUUAAUACCGCAUGUGGUUAGGAAGGACAUCCUUCCGAUACUAAAGCCGGGGCAACCUGGCGCUUCUUGAUGACCCCGCGGCCUAUCAGCUAGUUGGUGAGGUAACGGCUCACCAAGGCGAUGACGGGUAGCUGGUCUGAGAGGACGACCAGCCACACUGGAACUGAGACACGGUCCAGACACCUACGGGUGGCAGCAGUCGAGAAUUUUUCUCAAUGGGGGAAACCCUGAAGGAGCGACGCCGCGUGGAGGAUGAAGGUCUUCGGAUUGUAAACUCCUGUCAUUUGGGAACAAUUGCACCAUUUUAACUGAGUGGUGUUUGAUAGUACCAGAAGAGGAAGAGACGGCUAACUCUGUGCC
rnacentral:rRNA from 1 species